rnacentral:rRNA from 1 species
GAAAGGCGCUUUUGCGUCACUGAUGGAUGGACCCGCGGUGCAUUAGCUAGUUGGUGAAGUAACGGCUCACCAAGGCCACGAUGCAUAGCCGACCUGAGAGGGUGAUCGGCCACACUGGGACUGAGACACGGCCCAGACUCCUACGGGAGGCAGCAGUAGGGAAUCUUCGGCAAUGGACGAAAGUCUGACCGAGCAACGCCGCGUGAGUGAAGAAGGUUUUCGGAUCGUAAAACUCUGUUGUUAGAGAAGAACAAGGAUGAGAGUAGAACGUUCAUCCCUUGACGGUAUCUAACCAGAAAGCCACGGCUAACUACGUGCCAGCAGCCGCGGUAAUACGUAGGUGGCAAGCGUUGUCCGGAUUUAUUGGGCGUAAAGCGAGCGCAGGCGGUUUCUUAAGUCUGAUGUGAAAGCCCCCGGCUCAACCGGGGAGGGUCAUUGGAAACUGGGAGACUUGAGUGCAGAAGAGGAGAGUGGAAUUCCAUGUGUAGCGGUGAAAUGCGUAGAUAUAUGGAGGAACACCAGUGGCGAAGGCGGCUCUCUGGUCUGUAACUGACGCUGAGGCUCGAAAGCGUGGGGAGCGAACAGGAUUAGAUACCCUGGUAGUCCACGCCGUAAACGAUGAGUGCUAAGUGUUGGAGGGUUUCCGCCCUUCAGUGCUGC